rnacentral:hammerhead_ribozyme from 1 species
AUCCAGUUGAUGAGUCCCAAAUAGAACGAAACGCUCGUUCUGGAU